GGGUGAGUAAUGUCUGGGAAACUGCCUGAUGGAGGGGGAUAACUACUGGAAACGGUAGCUAAUACCGCAUAACGUCGCAAGACCAAGGAGGGGGACCCUCGGGCCUCUUGCCAUCGGAUGUGCCCAGAUGGGAUUAGCUUGUUGGUGGGGUAACGGCUCACCAAGGCGACGAUCCCUAGCUGGUCUGAGAGGAUGACCAGCCACACUGGAACUGAGACACGGUCCAGACUCCUACGGGAGGCAGCAGUGGGGAAUAUUGCACAAUGGGCGCAAGCCUGAUGCAGCCAUGCCGCGUGUAUGAAGAAGGCCUUCGGGUUGUAAAGUACUUUCAGCGGGGAGGAAGGGAGUAAAGUUAAUACCUUUGCUCAUUGACGUUACCCGCAGAAGAAGCACCGGCUAACUCCGUGCCAGCAGCCGCGGUAAUACGGAGGGUGCAAGCGUUAAUCGGAAUUACUGGGCGUAAAGCGCACGCAGGCGGUUUGUUAAGUCAGAUGUGAAAUCCCCGGGCUCAACCUGGGAACUGCAUCUGAUACUGGCAAGCUUGAGUCUCGUAGAGGGGGGUAGAAUUCCAGGUGUAGCGGUGAAAUGCGUAGAGAUCUGGAGGAAUACCGGUGGCGAAGGCGGCCCCCUGGACGAAGACUGACGCUCAGGUGCGAAAGCGUGGGGAGCAAACAGGAUUAGAUACCCUGGUAGUCCACGCCGUAAACGAUGUCGACUUGGAGGUUGUGCCCUUGAGGCGUGGCUUCCGGAGCUAACGCGUUAAGUCGACCGCCUGGGGAGUACGGCCGCAAGGUUAAAACUCAAAUGAAUUGACGGGGGCCCGCACAAGCGGUGGAGCAUGUGGUUUAAUUCGAUGCAACGCGAAGAACCUUACCUGGUCUUGACAUCCACGGAAGUUUUCAGAGAUGAGAAUGUGCCUUCGGGAACCGUGAGACAGGUGCUGCAUGGCUGUCGUCAGCUCGUGUUGUGAAAUGUUGGGUUAAGUCCCGCAACGAGCGCAACCCUUAUCCUUUGUUGCCAGCGGUCCGGCCGGGAACUCAAAGGAGACUGCCAGUGAUAAACUGGAGGAAGGUGGGGAUGACGUCAAGUCAUCAUGGCCCUUACGACCAGGGCUACACACGUGCUACAAUGGCGCAUACAAAGAGAAGCGACCUCGCGAGAGCAAGCGGACCUCAUAAAGUGCGUCGUAGUCCGGAUUGGAGUCUGCAACUCGACUCCAUGAAGUCGGAAUCGCUAGUAAUCGUGGAUCAGAAUGCCACGGUGAAUACGUUCCCGGGCCUUGUACACACCGCCCGUCACACCAUGGGAGUGGGUUGCAAAAGAAGUAGGUAGCUUAACCUUCGGGAGGGCGCUUACCACUUUGUGAUUCAUGACUGGGGUGAAGUCGAAACAAGGUA
rnacentral:rRNA from 1 species